rnacentral:rRNA from 1 species
UCACUUUCAACAACGGAUCUCUUGGCUCUCGCAUCGAUGAAGAACGUAGCGACGUGCGAUAAGUAAUGUGAAUUGCAGAAUUCCGUGAAUCAUCGAAUCUUUGAACGCAAAUUGCACUUUCUGGUAUUCCGGAGAGUAUGCCUGUUUGAGGGUCAGUGU